GCUGACGUAGUGUAGUGGUUAGCACGUAGGAUUUUGAUAUGAACAAUAGUUCUUGAAUUUCCUGAAUCCCCGGUUCGAACCCGGGCGACAGCU
rnacentral:tRNA from 1 species